AAGUCGUAACAAGGUUUCCGUAGGUGAACCUGCGGAAGGAUCAUUACCGAGUGCGGGCCCUCUGGGUCCAACCUCCCAUCCGUGUCUAUUCAUACCCUGUUGCUUCGGCGGGCCCGCUGGCUGCCCCCUCCUGGGGGGCGCCGGCCGCCGGGGGGCUACCCUGCCCCCGGGCCCGUGCCCGCCGGGGACACCAACACUGAACACUGUCUGAAGGUUGCAGUCUGAGUUUUCAUAAAGAAAAAUUGUUAAAACUUUCAACAACGGAUCUCUUGGUUCCG
rnacentral:misc_RNA from 1 species